rnacentral:rRNA from 1 species
CGCUGGGUAGCUACGUGUGGACGGGAUAAGUGCUGAAAGCAUCUAAGCAUGAAGCCCCCCUCAAGAUGAGAUUUCCCAUUACGCAAGUAAGUAAGAUCCCUUGAAGAAGACGAGGUAGAUAGGUUCGGGGUGGAAGUGUGGCGACACAUGGAGCUGACGAAUACUAAUCGAUCGAGGACUUAACCAA